CCCAUCGGCCUCCUCCCUUUUAAUCCGCCCCAAACCCUAGCCCUUUCCCCUCUCCUCCCUCACGCGCCGCCAUGCCUCUCCCCUUCUUCCUUUUUCCCUUUCUGUACGAGCAAACGAGGAAGAAAACCUCACAGUACCGUACCAACCUCGCCAUGGCGCCGCUGCUCUGGUCCAUCCCCCGACGAUCUGAGACCACCACCAGAAGCGCCUCGACGUCCUCUACCUCCCUCUGCAAGGAAUCGACCCACGACGCCUUGAAGCUCCCGCACCACCGCCGUUUCUUCACCAUGGCCGCCAUACUCCGGCGUCGAUUCCGGCCGCCCUCGUCCUCAUCCGGCCAAACCGAGCGCACCUCCGGCUUCCCCAAGUCAAGGCGCACCUUUGACGCCCUCGACCUCGGCCCGGUUCGUCCGGAUGCUCCAGAUCGGUGCUCGCCUGAGCCCGUCCGCCAUGACCUCUCCAUCCCGAGCUCUGCUCGCGUCUUGAUCAAGUUUUGGUGCAGCUCACCCACAUGAACAAUGGUACUGCAGCGCAGUGAUCUCGCGACAGAUAUGCUUCAAUAACCUCGGAGCCUUUUCCACAAUCAAUAAUAGCAUCGUAGCCUUCUGAUCUGGCGCCACUGGGCCUUGGCCCGUUUCUGUCCCGGUGUAGACGUCGCCUGCGUGCGGCAUCCUGCUAUCCGUCGCUGUUAAGGCCAGGUCCGGUCCAGUUCGUCCCCUUCUAUCUUGUUUUUGCAGAAAAUGUUUAAAUCUUGCGAAAUUCAUAUCUUGUAAACCGUAAUUCGAAAUACAAAGUGUUAUAUAUGAAAAUUGAUCAGAAAAAUGUGAAGAACAUGAAUAUGCCAUCCAUGCUUGCUGUUGCACCAUGCAUCAUAAAAUUUCGUGGUAGUUUGCAUUACCACCUAAUAUGUAACAUAUGGAAUAUGUGGGAUAUUAUAUAAAUGUUGUUCCGGUUCCAUUUAACUUUGAUGUAGCUCACCCCUGCCAUGUUUGCUAUGCUAAUCCACCCUUAAAUUUGUCGGUAGAAAUGCAACUUCAACCUAAUUUGUUUGCCCGGAGUUCCGACUCCGAUUAAUAUGAGUAAGUGCAUCGCAUCAUAUCUGCCAUGUCAUGCAUAUCAUCUGGAUCAUGCU